CCAACGUUCCCCUGUGUCUCCACCAUCCUCUAUCAUGUGUCUACUCAUCCAAGUCUUCAUCCCUGAGAAGUGUGUGCACUCCAGCGAAUCCACAAUCUCCCCCUCUAUCUGCAAAGACAGUAAACCUCUUCAUUCUCCAGUAUUGCAUUGCUCCAUUACUACUUACCCAUUGCUACUCAUUUACGCAUUUUCUCUUUUAAUAAAAUCACUGUGUGUAUUGCCCGCUAAUCCGGUCUCUGAGUCUGGCAUUUCCAUAACAGUAGACCAGAACAAACACCACCACAUGAUUUCCACGAACCCAAUUCAGGAGAUCGUGGAUUCACUGCGGCGGGCCUUCGCAUCCACAACAACAUCGAUCACCACAUCAGUCACUCCUUCAGCACCUGUUCGUGUGGGUGAGUGCUCCAGUGCACAGAAACCAUUUGGAACCAAGAUGGCCCAGUCACCCAGCCAUUCAGUAGCUUCGUAGCUCAUUUCUGAGAAGUGUUUGGAAGACCACUUGGUGAUUCAUCUGUGGGUGAGCAAUUGUAUCACUUAAACGAGUAUGCAGACCUGUAUGGAGGACUAACAGGGCCAAGAGUCUUCUUCCUACCAUCAACAGCCAAAGUAUGCCAGCUCUCCAAAACCAGGUACGGAGCCCAUGGUUGUGCACAAUUCUCAUUGCCCAGGGUCUUUGUACUGCAGAGUAUGAGGGCAUAUAAUCUCUUUAUGCCCUGUCCAUCCUCUUGAACCUGUGGUGAGUUGUAUUCAUACUCCCAGUUCUCAUGCAUCUCCACUUACCACUUAAGUCACCCUUACUGCUCGUGAUGUCUCUCUUUCAGUAAUCACCCUCCUCGACUCUGGGUCAGCCAGCAACUUUAUCUUGGGGGAGCUCUGCCAUCAACUCCAGAUCAAAAGAAGACCCAUCGAAUCAAGUCCAGUCGGUAACAGGAAGACCACUCAGCCACUGUCAUAUGCGUUUUCGUGUGGGACACAUCCAGCUUGGCCAACUCCAUCAAGAAUCUCUGGAUUUUCUGGUUCUGGAGGAAUCCACCACUGGCAUCAUCCUGGGGCGUUCAUAGUUACAUAAACAAAACCCAGUGCUAUCCUGGAAAAUAGUAGAAGUCUUGAAGUGGGGUGAAGGCUGUUACCCUGAAUGUUUCCCUCUCCUUCCACAAAUUCUUAUUGACCUGUUUCACAUUGACCUGUGAAAGUUCUCCCAGUUCACUCCACGUCCAUCAAGAGUCCGGUAAAUCAACAAUCAGUGGAUAUACCUCCUUACUACGCCCCCUUCAGUGACAUAUUUUGUCUAAGAAAGCUUCCCAACUGCCUCCCCACAGGUCAUGGGACAGUGCCAUAGACCUAUUUCUGGGUGAACCAGUGCUCCAUGGCAAGAUCUAUCCAUUAUCCAUCCCAACCCAGAUAAGCUCUUCUUUGUUGAAGGGAAGAAAGUGUGGCUCUCGAUGAGUGACAUCUGGCUGUGUUUGUGUCUCCCGACACUGUGGUGGCCUCUUGAAAUAUCUAGUGAACUAGGAAGGAUAUGGUCCUGAAGAAAGAUCCUAGGUCCUCAGAUAUGAUAUCCUUGAUCCUGAGCUCCUCACUACUUCCAUGUGUCCAACCCUGACUGUCCUGAGUCCAGGAGCAGAGGUCGGCCACCAAAACAUUGGGUUCCCUCGGCCCUCAGGAACGGCCCAUGGAGUGGGUGCUGUCACGGUGUCACCAGGCUCCACCGUCACUCCCUCACUCAGUUCAAAGUUAACAGAAUACUGAUCACCAGCACCUCAUCAGCACCCUCAUCAGCUCCUGUAUAAAAGCACACACUUCUCCCAAGUUCAUUGUCUGGUCUACUAGUCGGUGUACGGACCACUUACCUGCAGACUUACUUUGUGCGAUUCUCU